UACUCCGGAUUCUCAGGUUAAAAAAACCUGUAUUAGCAGAGAAACUCCAGAUGGAAGACUGUUUGUUUUCACCUUCCUCUGAAUGUCCUGUCAAGCAAUUUGCUGCUACUAAAAAUCCAGGCAAACAAGAUAACUGCACACAUAAAUCCUGUUUGUGCUGUUGGGCUUCUCCACUCUAAAUAUAGCUGGGUGGAGGAGCCCUGACCAAUAAGACAACAAGACAAUGGAGUCCUCUUCUUAUCUGCACCACAGCCUUGGCAUCUGCAGAGCAUCAAAGGUGGCUGAAUUUUCAAGUCUCUCUGCACCUCCUCCAGAGAAACCCAGAUCCCAAGUCACACAAACAGACCAACAGUGCAAGAAUGGAAAUCCUGUUCAGGGCUCAGCUAAGCUUUUUCUGCAAUGUCCUCUCUGGAAGAUCUUAGAAGAGUUCGUCAGAAUCGCUAGAGUUUUUCUUUUGACGAACAUGACAUAUCUUGGCUCCGUUUCCUCCCUUGCUUAUCACUAUUUUGUUAGCUUGAAGAUAAUUUCCAGGAGAUCUGCUCUCACCUUAAAGUCUGAUCAAAGGAAAUCCCUGGGGCUUUUUUUAAGAAGUUAUAGGGGAAAAGGGUGGGUGUCUUUCUGUCUAGUAACAGUUUAUUUUAAUCUGCCUGUUUUCUCCUUUUGUAAUCCAUAAGCACUCAUGUUUUUAGAAGGCUUGCCAGUUAUGACAGGUUUCCUUGACGUUACUGUAACAGGCAAGGCUAAACACGGCUGUCUGGUGCCUGCAAUCCUUAGGAGUUCUGCAGGACCCGAGUCAGUAAAAAUAAACUGAACUUUAGACACACUCAAGCCAAGGGCUUUUUCAGCCAACUCCUUUGUAAAUAGUCAAAAAUUCAAACUAGAUAUGGUGGGACAAAUUAGCGUCUGGAGUCACCUCAGUAGCUUUACUGGCACUCUGCUCAGAAUUCAUUUCCUGCAGUUUGUCCUUUACAAAAUUCCUUGUGCUUGGAACAGGCAGUACGUAAGUCAGAAACUAAGGCUCAACUUCUCAACUUUUAUGUUCAUGGAAAUGAGUAGAGAAGAACUACUAAUAGAGAUGGCAUGCACCUAAAUGUCAAUAUAAUACUGUAUUUGAUGACUUUUCAUUCACUGCCAGAGCUGAAACAAACAUUUCAGAAUAAUAGGUGC